UGUAUUAUUAUUAUUGUAAAAGUUUGCAUUGUGUGCCAACAUAUGCAAGUUAUUAAAACAAAAUUAGUUAACAUUAAGUGUCUGCUUGAAACGUGAACUUAGAAUUAUUUUAGAUUUAAACAGCGGGUGGCCAAUCUACUCUCCGUGGGAUUAUUCAGAACCGAUCAGACGUAGUCCGUGGACUCACAACAUGAGCUACUUGUGCAAAAUAAAUCAUUCCCUACGUGUUUAUAAUGCAGUGCGAUACUGACCAUUAAACAUAGUUUGACAAGAUAUUGAAUAUACUACGAUUAAAAGGUA